CCUGAGCCCCUAACCUGCAAGUCAUAAUAGGCAACGGAUCAAUGUUAUGAUGCAGUGGAGGCCCUUACCAGAAGCCAACCAGAUGCCAGCACCAUGCUCUUGGAUUUCCCAGUCUCCAGAAUGGUGCAGGUGGAGACGGAACCCUAGACACUGCUCAUCCCAAUCAGGCCCUUUCCAGGCCUGUCCCAUUCCAAUCGGGCAUCAGAUGUGGCAUUGAUCAUCAUCUACUUAACAAACGAGGCUCCCCUUUCAAUGCACUUGGGUCUCCUCUGGGCCAACCUUGGUUCUGAGAUAGCAGGUGCUGAAAUACUGCUGAAUCCUCAAAGCCAGACUAGCCAGUGCCUGGCACCUGAUGGGAAUAUGAUUUCAACGAACAGAAAUGAAGAGACCACCCAGAAAUACAGACCCAGCCUUUCAUUCUCUUAUAUUCCUUAUGUCCAACAUUUAUUGGGCCCUUACCAUGUG
rnacentral:lncRNA from 10 species